AACAGAAUUAAAUAGAAAACAGAAAAAAUACAUAAAGGGGAGUCAGUGAAGAGCAAUCAUAAUCAGUGUAACAUGAGACCUUUUGGAGGACCUGGUCAAGAGUUUAGCAGCAACAUUUUGGACCACUUGUAAACAAUCCAGGGAUGUUUUGGCAAGUAAAAAAAUGAAGUUACAGUAGUCAAGAUAGGACGAUAUAAAAGCAUGAAUUAACAUUUCCAUCUAUGCUUGAGUCACAAUGGGCCUGAGCUUUGCAGUGUUUCUCAGUGGGAGAAAAUAAGAGCGAAUCAGACACUUGACAUGUUGAUCCAGAGUCAGAACCUGGUCCAUAGUGACACCUAGAUUUCUUAUGGAGGAUUUAACUGAUGAGGAGAAGCAUAACAGAAUUGGACCAAGGACUGAACCCUGAGACACACCACAAUACAGAGUUUCAGAUGAGGAGGCAAAGCUGCUAACAGAAACUAUGAAACUCCUGUCAGAGAGGUCACCUUGGCAUCAUCAACCUCAUACCGUGGCCAAUUACUAUGGACAAAAGGAAUAGCUCUAUUCAAAUCUUCAUCCAUUUUUUAAGUUUCUGUGUAGUCCAUAUACACCUGUUACACCAGUGAGAGUUGUCCCGUCUGACUAAAUGAUGUAU